rnacentral:tRNA from 1 species
AGGUACAUAGCUCAGUGGUUAGAGCAUCAGGCUCACAAUCAUGAGGUAGUGAGUUCGAUUCCUGGACCUA